rnacentral:rRNA from 1 species
UACGAAGGGUGCAAGCGUUACUCGGAAUUACUGGGCGUAAAGCGUGCGUAGGUGGUUCGUUAAGUCUGAUGUGAAAGCCCCGGGCUCAACCUGGGAACUGCAUUGGAUACUGGCGAUCUGGAGUGCGGUAGAGGGUGGCGGAAUUCCCGGUGUAGCAGUGAAAUGCGUAGAGAUCGGGAGGAACAUCUGUGGCGAAGGCGGCCAUCUGGACCAGCACUGACACUGAGGCACGAAAGCGUGGGGAGCAAACAGG